rnacentral:lncRNA from 1 species
AGCUAUGAGUGACAUCUAACCAUAUGUCAUAGCUACCCAAGCUAAUGUAGAAGUUGUUCGGAGAACCUAUUCCGUUGGAAUUACAAUGUAAUUCGAUCCUUCUCUAAAACAAUACUCUCAAUCACAUUACUAGGGUAUGGAUAUAUUAUGUCAAACCCCUAAUGUGAUUAUUCCUUCUUAUAUGAUUCUAUUGAGUCGUAUAGGAACGCUUUCCUGUAUUACGCUCGAUACUUCGGCCGAAGGUUCCCGAAUCAUAUCUUAGAGUAUUCUUCCUCUCUUAUCAAGGAUUAGAGAUUCCUUGUUGCGCAUUCACUUGCCUUCAUGACUAAGUGGCUUAACCCCAAUUAUGUCGUGGACACCCACGAAUGGGGUGACUUUGACAUAAUCAAAGAUUAAGUACUUAGCCACAAGACAACGACGAUGCCUCAGGUCAAAGGACUACUUACAUUAUUCCAACCAUUAGAGUUACUUGCUUGACAUGUGAGUAGACCUCCAUGCAAGUACUCUCGUUCGAUUGUGUUCUGUGAACUCAUUCCCUUAAUGAGCACCUACAUACUUGUCUUAGUGUCACUACACAGAUGGGAUGAGACUUUCCAUUCUUCCAUUUGAAGCGGACACAGUAUGUACCGGUCUAAGCAUUGUCAGUUUCCCUCCGACAAUCCAAUGACCAGGAAUGAUAGGAGCAUAUUUAUGCGACUUAGUUGGCUUGUUCUUAAGCAUUUAUGUUGUUUUUCUUUAGUU